CCUACGGGGCGCAGCAGUGGGGAAUAUUGGACAAUGGGCGAAAGCCUGAUCCAGCCAUGCCGCGUGUGUGAAGAAGGCCUUCGGGUUGUAAAGCACUUUCAGUGGGGAAGAAAGCCUUGGGGCUAAUACCCUCGAGGAAGGACAUCACCCACAGAAGAAGCACCGGCUAACUCCGUGCCAGCAGCCGCGGUAAUACGGAGGGUGCGAGCGUUAAUCGGAAUUACUGGGCGUAAAGCGCGCGUAGGCGGUCUGAUAAGCCGGUUGUGAAAGCCCCGGGCUCAACCUGGGAACGGCAUCCGGAACUAUCAGGCUAGAGUGCAGGAGAGGAAGGUAGAAUUCCCGGUGUAGCGGUGAAAUGCGUAGAGAUCGGGAGGAAUACCAGUGGCGAAGGCGGCCUUCUGGACUGACACUGACGCUGAGGUGCGAAAGCGUGGGUAGCAAACAGGAUUAGAUACCCUGGUAGUC
rnacentral:rRNA from 1 species